GUGCUUUCUUCAGCAACACAUAUACUAAAAUUUGAAUGAUACAGAGUAGAUUAUAGUGGCCCCUGCACAAGGAUGACACUUAAAUUCAUGAAGAAUGCCAUAUUUUU